UCAAAUAUAUCCUAAAAAUGCAAUACCCAGCUACAGAAUAGAGAAAGAAAAUCUCCCCUUCCUGUCUGCAGACAAAAAGUUAAAUGUUCACAGAUGGUCACAGGUAAUUACAGUGAAUUCAUGCAUUAUCAGGGAGAAAUGAUGGGCUUGACAAGUUCUAAUUCAAAGACCUCUAUUGCAAAGCUGAAGAUGUUUGUUAAAUAAGAUUGUUCAGAGAAAAGGAACCCUGUGGACUUCCUUGAGAUAUAGUCAUUGAUACCCAGGGUUUUUUUCUUUCUUUCUUUCUUUCUUUCUUUUUUUUUUUUUUUUGAGAUGGAGUCUGGCUCUCUCGCCCAGGCUAGAGUGCAGUGGCAUGAUUUCGGCUCACUGCAACCUCCGCC
rnacentral:lncRNA from 10 species